CUCGCGAUGUUACUCUCCCAGGCCCACCCAUCCCCACCCAGGGCACUCUCCACGACAGAAACCACGUGGAGUGAGGAAAGACGGCAGAGGUGGUCCUCGCCUCCUCUGAUGAUAAAGAAAGCCGAUGACUGGGAGCCACAGGUCUCAGGAUAACUGGGAGGAAGCUGCAGCCCUGAGCCAAGAGGCGCUACUCACAGUUUUCUGAGAGAGACUAGCGGGAAGAAGCAGCUUCCGGCAUUUAGAAGUGAGAAUGUUUUUAUAGUCAUUGUGAGGCCUAUUUUAAAUAGGCUGGCUAAUUAGGUGAUGAUUAAAUUAAGUCGUUUCCAUAUGCUUGUGCUUGCUUCCGUGCAGACUAUGUCUGCCUGAAAAGUUGCAGGUGAAUUAUGUGUUUGUAAAGGAAUUCUUUGCUACUUUGCGCACAGUAGGCACUCCAGUGGGUUGAAUGGUACAUCGUUUACAAAGCACAUACCAAUAGCGACGAUCACAACAGCUGAAUGUUUGAACACCCACUUCGCGCCAGGCAGACUGCUCAGCCCCUGUCACGUGUCCUUCCUUUCGUACUUGGAGGCGCUGUUGGUGACUCCAGGAGAAGUGGGGACUGAGAAGGCAGCGACUCCUCCGUACCAUCAGGACCUCUGCUGCUUUGUGUUCGCGUUUGGAUUUUGGUCGCUGGGUCUUCUUAGAGCAGAAUGCACCUGCAGGAGAAGGGAGGAAAAUGGCUUUCCAGUGAUCUCUAAGGAGAAAUGGCUGCUGGAGGACCAAGAGGGGCGGCACAGGGUCAGCCAGCGCAGGCACCACGGGCAUGGCGUGGCACCCGCCGAGGGUGUGGACACAGAAGGAUCAUUGAUUCUGCUCUAAGUGUCUGCACCCUGCACGAGAGCCAUGAGCACUGUCCAGAUGGCCGGUAUGACAAGUCCAGCCUUGGAACCCAGAGCACGCUUCCCAAGCCAGGGUGCUAGACACUCCUGGAGCCCAGACCGGGCCCUUGGCUACCUCUCCACAACCCCAGCAGCAGCAGCAGAGCCGAGCCCUGAUGAACUGGAUAGAGCUCUGGAUUAACCCUCCAGGUCUGACCUGGCA
rnacentral:lncRNA from 1 species